rnacentral:rRNA from 1 species
AGUGAACGCUGGCGGCAUGCCUAAUACAUGCCAGUCGAACGGCAGCACAGUAAGAGUUUGCCCUUACGGGUGGCGAGUGGCGGACGGGUGAGGCAUACAUCGGAAUCUACUUAUACGUGGGGGAUAACGUAGGGAAACUUACGCUAAUACCGCAUACAACCUACGGCUGAAAGCAGGGGUUCAUCGGAUCUUUCGCGUUACAAUAAGACGAUGUCGGAUUAGCUAGUUGGCGGGGUAAAGGCCCACCAAGGCGACGAUCCGUAGCCGACCUGAGAGGAUGAUCGGCCACACUGGAACUGAGACACGGUCCAGACUCCUACGGGAGGCAGCAGUAGGGAAUAUUGGGCAAUGGGCGAAAGCCUGAUGGAGCAAUGCCGCGUGAGUGAAGAAGGCCUUCGGGUUGUAAAGCCCUGUUGUUAGGGAAGAAAAGCAGCGUAUUAAUACCCCGCUGUUCUGACGGUACCCAAACAGUAAGCCCCGGCUAACUUCGUG